rnacentral:rRNA from 1 species
UACAGAGGUCCCAAGCGUUGUUCGGAUUCACUGGGCGUAAAGGGUGCGUAGGCGGUCGGGUAAGUCUGAUGUGAAAUCUCACAGCUUAACUGUGAAACUGCAUUGGAUACUAUCCGGCUUGAGAGUUGGAGGGGGGGACUGGAAUUCUUGGUGUAGCAGUGAAAUGCGUAGAUAUCAAGAGGAACACCAGUGGCGAAGGCGAGUCCCUGGACAACUUCUGACGCUGAGGCACGAAAGCUAGGGGAGCAAACAGG